GCCUUUGUUUAUUUCCAAUAAUGCCUGC
rnacentral:piRNA from 1 species